GUGGGGAAUUUUGGACAAUGGGCGCAAGCCUGAUCCAGCCAUUCCGCGUGCAGGAUGAAGGCCUUCGGGUUGUAAACUGCUUUUGUACGGAACGAAAAGCCUCUGGUUAAUACCCGGGGGUCAUGACGGUACCGUAAGAAUAAGCACCGGCUAACUACGUGCCAGCAGCCGCGGUAAUACGUAGGGUGCGAGCGGUAAUCGGAAUUACUGGGCGUAAAGCGUGCGCAGGCGGUGAUGUAAGACAGUUGUGAAAUCCCCGGGCUCAACCUGGGAACUGCAUCUGUGACUGCAUUGCUGGAGUGCGGCAGAGGGGGAUGGAAUUCCGCGUGUAGCAGUGAAAUGCGUAGAUAUGCGGAGGAACACCGAUGGCGAAGGCAAUCCCCUGGGCCUGCACUGACGCUCAUGCACGAAAGCGUGGGGAGCAAACAGGAUUAGAUACCCUUGUAGUCC
rnacentral:rRNA from 1 species